GACGAACGCUGGCGGCGUGCUUAACACAUGCAAGUCGAACGGAAAGGCCCUGCUUUUGUGGGGUGCUCGAGUGGCGAACGGGUGAGUAACACGUGAGUAACCUGCCCUUGACUUUGGGAUAACUUCAGGAAACUGGGGCUAAUACCGGAUAGGAGCUCCUGCUGCAUGGUGGGGGUUGGAAAGUUUCGGCGGUUGGGGAUGGACUCGCGGCUUAUCAGCUUGUUGGUGGGGUAGUGGCUUACCAAGGCUUUGACGGGUAGCCGGCCUGAGAGGGUGACCGGCCACAUUGGGACUGAGAUACGGACCAGACUCCUACGGUAGGCAGCAGUGGGGAAUAUGGCACAGUGGGCGGGAGCCUGAGGCAGCAACGCCGCGUGCGGGAAGACGGCCUUCGGGGUGUAAACCGCUUUCGCCUGAGACGAAGCGUGAGUGACGGUAAUGGGUAAAGAAGCACCGGCUAACUACGUG
rnacentral:rRNA from 1 species